rnacentral:misc_RNA from 1 species
AACCAUAGAAACCUGCGGAGUACCUGCGGAAGGAUCAUUACCGAGUUAUACAACUCAUCAACCCUGUGAACAUACCUAAAACGUUGCCUCGGCGGGAACAGACGGCCCCGUAACACGGGCCGCCCCCGCCAGAGGACCCCCUAACUCUGUUUCUAUAAUGCUUUUUCUGAGUAAACAAGCAAAUAAAUCAAAACUUUCAACAACGGAUCU